rnacentral:rRNA from 1 species
GACGAACGCUGGCGGCGUGCCUAAUACAUGCAAGUAGAACGCUGAAGAGAGGAGCUUGCUCUUCUUGGAUGAGUUGCGAACGGGUGAGUAACGCGUAGGUAACCUGCCUUGUAGCGGGGGAUAACUAUUGGAAACGAUAGCUAAUACCGCAUAACAAUGGAUGACACAUGUCAUUUAUUUGAAAGGGGCAAUUGCUCCACUACAAGAUGGACCUGCGUUGUAUUAGCUAGUAGGUGAGGUAAUGGCUCACCUAGGCGGCGAUACGUAGCCGACCUGAGAGGGUGAUCGGCCACACGGGGACGGGGACGCGGCCCAGACUCCUAAGAGAGGCAGCAGUAGGGAAUCUUCGGCAAUGGGGGCAAACCUGACCGAGCAACGCCGCGUGAGUGGAGAAGGUUUUCGGAUCGUAAAGCUCUGUUGUAAGUCAAGAACGGGUGUGAGAGUGAAAAGUUCACACUGUGACGGUAGCUUAACAGAAAGGGACGGCUAACUACGUG